rnacentral:rRNA from 1 species
GACGAACGCUGGCGGCGUGCUUAACACAUGCAAGUCGAACGGAAAGGCCCUGCUUUUGUGGUGUGCUCGAGUGGCGAACGCGUGCGUAACACGAGAGUAACCUGACCUAGUCUUUGGGAUAACUUAAGGAAACUGGGGUUAAUACCGGAUAGGAGCUCCUGUUCCAUGGAGGGGGUUGGAAAGUUUCGGCGGUUGGGGAUGGACUCGCGGAUUAUCGGCUUGUUGGUGGGGGAGUGGAUUACCCAGGCUUGGACUGGUAGCCGGCCUGAGAGGGUGACCGGCCACCUGGGUACUGAGGUAGGGACCAGUCGCCUACGGGAGGCAGCAGGGGGGAAUAUUGCACAGUGGGCGGGAGCGUGAUGCGGCAACGCCGGGUUCGGGAUGACGUCCUGUGGGUUGUAAACCGCUGUCGCCUGUUACGAAGCUGGAGUGACGGUAAUGGGUAAAGAAGCACCGGCUAACUACGUG